GAUGAACGCUGGCGGCGUGCCUAAUACAUGCGAGUCGAGCGAACGGACGAGAAGCUUGCUUCUCUGAUGUUAGCGGCGGACGGGUGAGUAACACGUGGAUAACCUACCUAUAAGACUGGGAUAACUUCGGGAAACCGGAGCUAAUACCGGAUGAUAUUUUGAACCGCAUGGUUCAAAAGUGAAAGACGGUCUUGCUGUCACUUAUAGAUGGAUCCGCGCUGCAUUAGCUAGUUGGUAAGGUAACGGCUUACCAAGGCAACGAUGCAUAGCCGACCUGAGAGGGUGAUCGGCCACACUGGAACUGAGACACGGUCCAGACUCCUACGGGAGGCAGCAGUAGGGAAUCUUCCGCAAUGGGCGAAAGCCUGACGGAGCAACGCCGCGUGAGUGAUGAAGGUCCUCGGAUCGUAAAACUCUGUUAUUAGGGAAGAACAUAUGUGUAAGUAACUGUGCACAUCUUGACGGUACCUAAUCAGAAAGCCACGGCUAACUACGUG
rnacentral:rRNA from 1 species